rnacentral:rRNA from 1 species
CCCUUAGAUGUUCUGGGCCGCACGCGCGCUACACUGAUGCAUUCAACGAGUCUAAAACCUGGUCUGAUAGGGCUGGGUAAUCUUUUGAAAGUGCAUCGUGAUUGGGAUAGAUGAUUGCAAUUCUUCAUCUUCAACGAGGAAUGCCUAGUAAACGCAAGUCAUCAGCUUGCAUUGAUUACGUCCCUGCCCUUUGUACACACCGCCCGUCGCUCCUACCGAUUGAAUGAUCCGAUGAAUACCAUGGAUUGAGAGUUCGAACAGGUUCUCCUGUUUCAGCUUCUCGAGACGUGGAGUAAAUCUUAUCAUUUAGAGGAAGGAGAAGUCGUAACA